AUUGAACGCUAGCGGGAUGCUUUACACAUGCAAGUCGAACGAGUGGCGGACGGGUGAGUAAUAUCUCGGAACGUGCCCAGUAGCGGGGGAUAACUACUCGAAAGAGUGGCUAAUACCGCAUACCAUCGGAGCGGCCCAUAUCGGAUUAGCUAGUUGGUGGGGUAAAGGCUCACCAAGGCAACGAUCCAUAGCUGGUUUGAGAGGAUGACCAGCCACACUGGAACUGAGACACGGCCCAGACUCCUACGGGAGGCAGCAGUGGGGAAUAUUGGACAAUGGGGGAAAGCCUGAUCCAGCCAUGCCGCGUGUAUGAGAAGGCCUUCGGGUUGUAAAGUACUUUUAGCAGAGAAGCGGUAUCUGCAGAAUAAGCACCGGCUAACUACGUGCCAGCAGCCGCGGUAAUAC
rnacentral:rRNA from 1 species